rnacentral:rRNA from 1 species
UACGUAGGGGGCAAGCGUUGUCCGGAUUUAUUGGGCGUAAAGAGCGUGUAGGCGGUCAGGUAGGUCCGUUGUGAAAACUCGAGGCUCAACCUCGAGACGCCGAUGGAAACCAUCUGACUAGAGUCCGGAAGAGGAGAGUGGAAUUCCUGGUGUAGCGGUGAAAUGCGCAGAUAUCAGGAAGAACACCCGUGGCUAAGACGGCUCUCUAGUACGGUACUGACGCUGAGACGCGAAAGCGUGGGGAGCGAACAGG